AAAUGAAUUCUGAGGAAGGAAGGCGCAGACCAGAAACCAGACAGAAUAGAAGCCGCAAAGCUUCUGUUAGGCAUAAGAAGAAGCUUUUGGAACAGGGAAAGAGACCAUUGCGUCCCCGUCUACCUAUGUUACCGAAUGGUGGGGUGGCCUACAGAAUGGUGGGAUGGCCUCAUUUUCCAGUGUAUAUGCCAACACUUUGGCCCCUGAAACUGCUCUUCUGUAUCAAUCGUCAACAACAAAACAGACAUUAAUAAAUGGAUUUACCCUGCAGCAGAUCGGCCAGCUGCAUACUUUAAUACACGAACAUCUCCAGCUGCUUAUCCAAGUACUUUGUCUUUGUUUUAACGAUUCCUCCCGACAGCAUAUUGCCUCUCGGAUUCAUGGAUUGAUUUCAGAGAUUUUGCACAAAUGCAG
rnacentral:lncRNA from 1 species